CUUCCGAUUAUCUGGUACAGCUAUUGUAAUUUUUAAGUUUUUUUUUCCACUUUAUCUAUGAUAUUCAAUCGGAUAUAAGUGUCACUUAGUGCUGGUCCCAAAGUAAGUCUUAUAAGUGGUGUCUACACUGUAUUUGUAAAUAUUAUUAAUUAUUACUAAACUACUAAAUUUUUAAUUUGUAGAAAAACUUUUGCUGUUAGAUGACAGAUAUAAAAUAUAUCAGUCAGAAUUUGUAUAUAAAUACUCUUCACACUUGGAAAUACUAGUACUAAAGGAAGAUGAAGAAGAGAGUGAAAUGUAUAUACCUGCAGAUAGAGAAAAAAGAACUCCAUUCGAAUGGUGUAUGUUUACUGUUGUACAUGAAACUUUGCAAUUACAAAAAUAGAAUAUUUUUAAUUUUCAAUUACACACCUAUUGAUGUAUUACAUUUUAAUAUUUUUUCCAUAUAAAUUUAAAAGACACAAGAUUUUUUUUUUAAUUAUAUAUAUAUAUACAUAAUAAUAUUUAGAAUAGUUAUACAAAUGAUUGUAUUAAUAUUGAA